CCUACGGGUGGCAGCAGUGGGGAAUAUUGGGCAAUGGGCGCAAGCCUGACCCAGCAACGCCGCGUGAAGGAAGAAGGCUUUCGGGUUGUAAACUUCUUUUCUCAGGGACGAAGCAAGUGACGGUACCUGCGGAAUAAGCCACGGCUAACUACGUGCCAGCAGCCGCGGGAAUACGUAGGUGGCAAGCGUUAUUCGGAUUUACUGGGGGUAAAGGGCGUGUAGGCGGGGACGCAAGUUAGAUGUGAAAUCCACGGGCUCAACCUGUGGCCUGCAUUUGAAACUGUGUUUCUUGAGUACUGGAGAGGCAGACGGAAUUCCUAGUGUAGCGGUGAAAUGCGUAGAUAUUAGGAGGAACACCAGUGGCGAAGGCGGUCUGCUGGACAGCAACUGACGCUGAGGCGCGAAAGCGUGGGGAGCAAACAGGAUUAGAGACCCUGGUAGUC
rnacentral:rRNA from 1 species